rnacentral:rRNA from 1 species
CCCUUAGAUGUUCUGGGCCGCACACGCGCUACACUGAAGGAGGCAGCGUGUACUCCUGGAUCGAAAGAUUUGGGUAACCCGCGAAUCUCCUUCGUGCUAGGGAUUGAGGUUUGCAAUUAUCCUUCAUGAACGAGGAAUUCCCAGUAAGUGCAAGUCAUAAGCUUGCGCUGACUACGUCCCUGCCCUUUGUACACACCGCCCGUCGCUACUACCGAUUGAAUGAUUUAGUGGGGACUUCGGACUGGGACCGAUGCGGCUUUCGGGCUGCGUCGGUAUUCUGGAAAGAUGUCCAAACUGUAUCAUUUAGAGGAAGUAAAANUCGUANCA